UCCCCUGUAGUUUAACUGGCAGAACACCGGCCUCUGGAGUCGGGAGUCUUGGUUCAAAUCCAGGCGGGGGAGC
rnacentral:tRNA from 1 species